AGUUUCGCGCUUGCCGGGGCUGUGUGAGGAAGUCCUCCUGAGGUUCACAGGCGCCUUAUAAGUACAAGAUCAGGAUGCUGGACAGCCUACCAGUGCGCCAUCUCCUCCCUACCAUGCUGCCCCUACUUCGUGUCCUCCUGGUAGGGGUGCUAAGGACGGGCCGUCAGGGAGACUAUCUCCCUCCCCUUGCUGUUCUUCCAGAGUAUGACUUCAUAGUCGUGGGCGGAGGUACAGCAGGAUGUGUACUGGCGUCAAAGGUUGUCAGAGAUUGGGAGUGGAAGGUCCUGCUGCUGGAGGCUGGGGGCGCGCCGCCCCCUGAAAGCGAGAUCCCGGGACUAAGUCGAGU